CUAAGCUUCACCACCACAUCCUCUCCCGCCAAUACUCCAUUCACCCCUUCAGCCAUCAAGGUCCGGUGGCACCUACAGACUUGCUCCGCCAACUUCCUCAUCCUCAACCUGGGGUCAGAAGUUCAUUUGAUCAAUAAGCGCUUGCGGAUUCCCUACUCUGCAGCUUGUAUACAGUCUGCUCAAGACAGACUGCAGCACCUUCCUCAGAACCAGUGAGGAGCAGAUGAAGUAAGAGGACAGACAGAGAACACCCAGCAACUCAGCUCAAAAGUCAGACUCUUCCUCCCCGUGGAUAUAUGAGCACACACACAGAAACAUACUGACUUGGUAACACAGGAAGAGAGAAGAAAGGAAGGAGGGAGAGAGCCUUGUGAUUUACAUUACUGUGAGUGGACCGGAAGAUCAUCACAGUAGCUGAAACAUGACGGUUAAGGGCACGGAAAGACAAGCAUCACGUGAUCCCACUCACAGGUCACUUCCUGGAAGCAGAGAAAAGGGCAUUCCCAGGGGCUGGUGUGGAUGAGGAGCGGGGAUGGGGAGAGGCUGGUUGAAGAGUAAAGAUUACAUCUAUUGUU